rnacentral:rRNA from 1 species
AGAACGACUCUCGGCAACGGAUAUCUUGGCUCUCGCAUCGAUGAAGAACGUAGCGAAAUGCGAUACUUGGUGUGAAUUGCAGAAUCCCGUGAACCAUCGAGUCUUUGAACGCAAGUUGCGCCCGAAGCCUUCUGGCCGAGGGCACGUCUGUCUGGGCGUCACGC